AAAUGUUAUGCGUUUUCUGAAUGUCUAUUAAAUAUACCUUCGUUUAAAGAAAAAUAACUUUAAAAAUUCAUAUUCCCUUAAACUGUAUAAUUACCAGCCAUUUUGUUGUAAACUAAUUGGUCAAAAUGUCAGCGAAAGUAAGAGUAGGGAUGAGGUCAUGCUCGGUUAACACAUUCGACUUUACAAACGUAUCGUAUAUAUUGAAUUUCUUCUGUAAUGAAUUUAUAUGAAGAAGUAAAAGAAAGGAUGAUUUAAUAAGACGAAACAAGGAAGACAAAAGUUUAUUGCGUCAGACAUUUGGUGUUGUCGCUUGCUCUUGCUUGCAAUUAAUAACCGGGUGUUAAAAAUGGAGCGUGACUUCAAACUCUUAAUUUAUCCGUCUUGGUGGGAGAAUUGGUAACGAUUUUUCUACAUUCGAUACUACAAAACAGGAUAGAAGAAUCUCUAACCGAAAUGUGAAAUUACUGCAUUUAAUGGAAAUGUUCGGGGUCAAUUUGAUUUCAUUCUU